UGACCUCGGAUCAGGUAGGGAUACCCGCUGAACUUAAGCAUAUCAAUAAGCGGAGGAAAAGAAACCAACAGGGAUUGCCCCAGUAACGGCGAGUGAAGCGGCAAGAGCUCAAAUUUGAAAGCUGGCCCCCUCGGGGUCCGCAUUGUAAUUUGCAGAGGAUGCUUCGGAGGCAGCCCCCGUCUAAGUACCCUGGAACGGGUCGUCAUAGAGGGUGAGAAUCCCGUACGGGACGGGGUGUCUGCCACCGUGUGAAGCUCCUUCGACGAGUCGAGUUGUUUGGGAAUGCAGCUCUAAAUGGGUGGUAAAUUUCAUCUAAAGCUAAAUAUUGGCCGGAGACCGAUAGCGCACAAGUAGAGUGAUCGAAAGAUGAAAAGCACUUUGAAAAGAGAGUUAAAAAGCACGUGAAAUUGUUGAAAGGGAAGCGCUUGCGACCAGACUCGCCCACGGGGUUCAGCCGGCAUUCGUGCCGGUGUACUUCCCCGCGGGCGGGCCAGCGUCGGUUUGGGCGGCCGGUCAAAGGCCCUCGGAAUGUAACGCCCCCCGGGGCGUCUUAUAGCCGAGGGUGCCAUGCGGNCUGCCCGGACCGAGGAACGCGCUUCGGCUCG
rnacentral:rRNA from 1 species